UACGUAUGGGGCUAGCGUUGUUCGGAAUCACUGGGCUUAAAGGGCGCGUAGGCGGGUUCGCAAGUCUGUGGUGAAAUCCUCCGGCUCAACCGGAGAACUGCCUCGGAUACUGCGGGUCUCGAGGGUGAUAGGGGUAUGCGGAACUAUCGGUGGAGCGGUGAAAUGCGUUGAUAUCGAUAGGGACUCCGGUGGCGAAGGCGGCAUACUGGAUCACUUCUGACGCUGAGGCGCGAAAGCCAGGGGAGCAAACGGG
rnacentral:rRNA from 1 species